GUUGUAUGGUUAAGUGACUAAGCGUACACGGUGGAUGCCUAGGCAAUCAGAGGCGAAGAAGGACGUGCUAAUCUGCGAAAAGUUUGGAUGAGUCGAUAAGAGGCGUUUAAUCCAAAAUAUCCGAAUGGGGAAACCCAGUAGAUGAAGAAUCUACUAUCAUUUACUGAAUACAUAGGUAAAUGAGGCAAACCGGGAGAACUGAAACAUCUAAGUACCCCGAGGAAAAGAAAUCAACCGAGAUUCCGUGAGUAGCGGCGAGCGAAAGUGGAAGAGCCAGUGAGUGAUAGCAGUUUGUUUAGGAGAAUCGGCUGGGAAGUCGAACUACAAAGGGUGAUAGUCCCGUAUCUUAAAAACAAAUUGUGGUACUAAGCUAACAACAAGUAGGGCGGGACACGUGAUAUCCUGUUUGAAGAUGGGGGGACCAUCCUCCAAGGCUAAAUACUCCUGAUUGACCGAUAGUGAACCAGUACUGUGAAGGAAAGG
rnacentral:rRNA from 1 species